ensembl:lncRNA
CUCCCAAGCUGUCCCUGGCUGCUCUAGACCACUGUCCCCACCUGGGAACUGCCUGCACUUCGUAGAGAGCUGGAAGCUUAAAAAAAAAAUUUCCCAUUCACGUUUUCAUCCAAUAGAAACUAUGGUGGCCUUCUACUCAAAGAACAAAAACUGGAAGCAUCCAUUGAAUUGCCCUGUUUACAUGUGUUGAGUCAUGCUGAUGGAACAGAGCUAAUCAAGUCCUGGGUAUAAAGCCCUUUAUGUAAAGGAAAAGGACCAGCUUCAGAUUCACUAACCCCAGAUGCAAAUACUUUCAUGUGUCUUGACAAAGCCUCGAACUCAGUGAGGAGGACCUUGGAGGCAGAUCAGGCCAAUCCAAGGAUCAUGUGAGCCACAAAUGAGAGCCACCUACAGAAUUUUAGAUUUUCUAGUGGCCACAUUUUACAAGGGAAAAUCAAACAGUACUACUUGGUAGGAAGUAAUCCGUGAUCUCCUCUAGACCAGUGGUUCCCAAAAUGUGGUCCCCGGACCAGCUGCGUCUGCAUCACAUGUGAGUAUGUUAGAAGUACAAACUCUUGGGCUCUAGUCCAGAAUUACUGCAUCACCAACUCUGAGGGUGGGAUCCAGCAAUUUCUGACUCUACAAGCCUUCUGUCAUUUUGAUGCAUGUGAAUAUUUGAAAAUCACUGAUCUAGAGCAAGAAUGCCAC